rnacentral:rRNA from 1 species
GACGAACGCUGGCGGCGUGCUUAACACAUGCAAGUCGAACGGAAAGGCCCUGCUUUUGUGGGGUGCUCGAGUGGCGAACGGGUGAGUAACGCGUGAGUAACCUGCCCUUGACUUUGGGGUAACUUCAGGAAACUGGGGCUAAUACCGGAUAGGAGCUGCUGCUGCAUGGUGGGGGUUGGAAAGUUUCGGCGGUUGGGGAUGGACUCGCGGCUUAUCAGCUUGUUGGUGGGGUAGUGGCUUACCAAGGCUUUGACGGGUAGCCGGCCUGAGAGGGUAACCGGCCACAUUGGGACUGAGAUACGGCCCAGACUCCUACGGGAGGCAGCAGUGGGGAAUAUUGCACAAUGGGCGGAAGCCUGAUGCAGCAACGCCGCGUGCGGGAUGACGGCCUUCGGGUUGUAAACCGCUUUCGCCUGUGACGAAGCGUGAGUGACGGUAAUGGGUAAAGAAGCACCGGCUAACUACGUG